rnacentral:rRNA from 1 species
AGAGUUUGAUCCUGGCUCAGGAUGAACGCUAGCGGCAGGCUUAACACAUGCAAGUCGAGGGGCAGCAUAAUGGAUAGCAAUAUCUAUGGUGGCGACCGGCGCACGGGUGCGUAACGCGUAUGCAACCUACCUUUAACAGGGGGAUAACACUGAGAAAUUGGUACUAAUACCCCAUAAUAUCAUAGAAGGCAUCUUUUAUGGUUGAAAAUUCCGAUGGUUAGAGAUGGGCAUGCGUUGUAUUAGCUAGUUGGUGGGGUAACGGCUCACCAAGGCGACGAUACAUAGGGGGACUGAGAGGUUAACCCCCCACACUGGUACUGAGACACGGACCAGACUCCUACGGGAGGCAGCAGUGAGGAAUAUUGGUCAAUGGACGCAAGUCUGAACCAGCCAUGCCGCGUGCAGGAAGACGGCUCUAUGAGUUGUAAACUGCUUUUGUACGAGGGUAAACUCACCUACGUGUAGGUGACUGAAAGUAUCGUACGAAUAAGGAUCGGCUAACUCCGUGCCAGCAGCCGCGGUAAUACGGAGGAUUCAAGCGUUAUCCGGAUUUAUUGGGUUUAAAGGGUGCGUAGGCGGUUUGAUAAGUUAGAGGUGAAAUCCCGGGGCUCAACUCCGGAACUGCCUCUAAUACUGUUAGACUAGAGAGUAGUUGCGGUAGGCGGAAUGUAUGGUGUAGCGGUGAAAUGCUUAGAGAUCAUACAGAACACCGAUUGCGAAGGCAGCUUACCAAACUAUAUCUGACGUUGAGGCACGAAAGCGUGGGGAGCAAACAGGAUUAGAUACCCUGGUAGUCCACGCAGUAAACGAUGAUAACUCGUUGUCGGCGAUACACAGUCGGUGACUAAGCGAAAGCGAUAAGUUAUCCACCUGGGGAGUACGUUCGCAAGAAUGAAACUCAAAGGAAUUGACGGGGGCCCGCACAAGCGGAGGAACAUGUG